GAGAAUCAGCCUAAAGUUGAAUGGUCGAGCAUGUAAUGGCAUGAUAAAUACCAUUAUCAAGCCAAGAAUUUUUGUAUCAGGGUUCCAUUCUUUUCACCCAAUCUACCCAAUGGAGAUCAAUACUCGACACCUCGAUUUUUGGGAAAAACCUGGGCAGCAUUUUGGUCCAAUUCAACCAAUCAACCCUUUUCUAAACAACAUAUAGGAAUAGGAGCCUGAAUAGGAUGAAGCUCAUACUUAUAAAGCUGAUAAGUUUUCUGCUCUAGAUACCUGCACCCCAAAAUGCAAUGACCAUUCACGAAGCUGAUGAGAUCCUUGCAAAGUUGAAAAGGGAUGCCACUAGCGGCAAAUCGUUCAACCCAACUGCCAAAGACGGCAACGAAUUCCUUUACUCCAACCCCUGAGAUAAAGGCAGGACUCGCAGAAGUAGCCUCUGAAGAGGAAGAUUCAGGAAUGGUAGAAGGAUUCUUCUUUGGCGCCAUUUUCCCAGAAUUUCACUACGCACAAAAAAAUUUGGAAUUCGAAAAAUGGAGGUUAGGAAUUUUUUAUUUUUUAUUUUUUUCUCUCGCUCAGAAAAGCUUUGGGUUUUUGAGUUUCUCGACACAACUAUGAGAAGACAAAAGGGUGAAGAGAGGGAGACGGUCACACAUCAACCAUUUAAAUCUUGACGCGUCUUUUUAAGCUAGCCGCCUGUCAGACGGUUUUUAUUAUCUUCGCCAUGUGGCCAAAGCAUGAGCUUUUUGCAAAUCACGACUUCCUAAAAAACUGUACUUAAAGGCACAUCGUGC
rnacentral:lncRNA from 1 species